UAUACAUGCAAGUCGAACGAACUCUGGUAUUGAUUGGUGCUUGCAUCAUGAUUUACAUUUGAGUGAGUGGCGAACUGGUGAGUAACACGUGGGAAACCUGCCCAGAAGCGGGGGAUAACACCUGGAAACAGAUGCUAAUACCGCAUAACAACUUGGACCGCAUGGUCCGAGCUUGAAAGAUGGCUUCGGCUAUCACUUUUGGAUGGUCCCGCGGCGUAUUAGCUAGAUGGUGGGGUAACGGCUCACCAUGGCAAUGAUACGUAGCCGACCUGAGAGGGUAAUCGGCCACAUUGGGACUGAGACACGGCCCAAACUCCUACGGGAGGCAGCAGUAGGGAAUCUUCCACAAUGGACGAAAGUCUGAUGGAGCAACGCCGCGUGAGUGAAGAAGGGUUUCGGCUCGUAAAACUCUGUUGUUAAAGAAGAACAUAUCUGAGAGUAACUGUUCAGGUAUUGACGGUAUUUAACCAGAAAGCCACGGCUAACUACGUGCCAGCAGCCGCGGUAAUACGUAGGUGGCAAGCGUUGUCCGGAUUUAUUGGGCGUAAAGCGAGCGCAGGCGGUUUUUUAAGUCUGAUGUGAAAGCCUUCGGCUCAACCGAAGAAGUGCAUCGGAAACUGGGAAACUUGAGUGCAGAAGAGGACAGUGGAACUCCAUGUGUAGCGGUGAAAUGCGUAGAUAUAUGGAAGAACACCAGUGGCGAAGGCGGCUGUCUGGUCUGUAACUGACGCUGAGGCUCGAAAGUAUGGGUAGCAAACAGGAUUAGAUACCCUGGUAGUCCAUACCGUAAACGAUGAAUGCUAAGUGUUGGAGGGUUUCCGCCCUUCAGUGCUGCAGCUAACGCAUUAAGCAUUCCGCCUGGGGAGUACGGCCGCAAGGCUGAAACUCAAAGGAAUUGACGGGGGCCCGCACAAGCGGUGGAGCAUGUGGUUUAAUUCGAAGCUACGCGAAGAACCUUACCAGGUCUUGACAUACUAUGCAAAUCUAAGAGAUUAGACGUUCCCUUCGGGGACAUGGAUACAGGUGGUGCAUGGUUGUCGUCAGCUCGUGUCGUGAGAUGUUGGGUUAAGUCCCGCAACGAGCGCAACCCUUAUUAUCAGUUGCCAGCAUUAAGUUGGGCACUCUGGUGAGACUGCCGGUGACAAACCGGAGGAAGGUGGGGAUGACGUCAAAUCAUCAUGCCCCUUAUGACCUGGGCUACACACGUGCUACAAUGGAUGGUACAACGAGUUGCGAACUCGCGAGAGUAAGCUAAUCUCUUAAAGCCAUUCUCAGUUCGGAUUGUAGGCUGCAACUCGCCUACAUGAAGUCGGAAUCGCUAGUAAUCGCGGAUCAGCAUGCCGCGGUGAAUACGUUCCCGGGCCUUGUACACACCGCCCGUCACACCAUGAGAGUUUGUAACACCCAAAGUCGGUGGGGUAACCUUUUAGGAACCAGC
rnacentral:rRNA from 1 species